rnacentral:rRNA from 1 species
UGACUCCUUGAGGGUCCUGAAGGAACGUUGAAGACGACGACGUUGAUAGGCCGGGUGUGUAAGCGCAGCGAUGCGUUGAGCUAACCGGUACUAAUGAACCGUGAGGCUUAACCUU